GACGGAGGAUGCAAGUGUUAUCCGGAAUCACUGGGCGUAAAGCGUCUGUAGGUGGUUUAGCAAGUCCACUGUUAAAAAUUGAAGCUUAACUUCAAAGAUGCCGUGGAAACUUUUAAACUUGAGGAUGAUAGGGGUAGAGGGAAUUUCCAGUGGAGCGGUGAAAUGCGUAGAUAUUGGAAAGACCACCAAUGGCGAAGGCACUCUACUGGGCCAUUACUGACACUGAGAGACGAAAGCUAGGGGAGCGAAUGGG
rnacentral:rRNA from 1 species